rnacentral:lncRNA from 1 species
CUGGCACUGGCUUCCCACUCCGCUCUUGCUCAGGCUCCCGGAGCAGCACCGAACCAAUCUCCGCCAGCAGCUACUCCAGCUCCGGCCCCAAAGGCUGCGGCUCCAACUCCCUCAGUCAUGGCUCCACCACCAGCCACCACUCCAACUACUCCACCAACCGUAGCUCCAACCGUACCUCCAGCAAGUGCACCAACUUCUCCCACCAUCUCUCCUCCUGCUCCUCCCACCUCUCCCGCUUCAGCUCCAUCCACACCGGUCCCUCCCACACCAUCCAUUUCCAACCCUCCCGGUGAGGCUCCUGCCGUCACUCCCGGCAAUGGAGCUGCCUUGAACAGAAU